UCUGACGGCCAUAGCGGAGGGGUUCCACCCGAUCCCAUUCCGAACUCGGCAGUUAAGCUCUCCAGCGAUUUGUUGAUUACUGCGUUUUGACGUGGGAAAAACAAGACGCUGUCAGGC
rnacentral:rRNA from 1 species